rnacentral:lncRNA from 1 species
CCCUUCCAGGCAGUGGGCAGUGUGCUGCCAUGGACCUGGGGCCUCUAGAAGGCGGGUACCUGGAGCUUCUCAACAGCAGUGCUGAUCCCUUGCAGCUCUACCACCUCUAUGACCAGACGGACCUGGCUAGAGAAGAGCUUGAGCUCUGCUCAGAACCCGACAUGGACACCAUCAACUGCGAGCAGUUCAGCAAACUGUUGUGUGACAUCGAAGGUGAUGAAGAGACCAGGGAGGCUUAUGCCAAUAUCGGUGAGGAAGCAUUCUGAACCCAGAAAAAGGCCAGUUGAGGGGAAGAGUUCCUUUUUCUCUUUUGCUAACCUCACCCAUUCACCACAAAUCACAGCAGGAUCCUCCCUCAUAAAUUAGGGCAAGGGGGGUGGGUGGGAUUGCAGAGCAAGAGCUAGAAAAGAGACUCCAGGGAAAUGGAGAGAUGACCUCUUGCCCA